UCCAGCUMCAAUAGCGUAUAUUAAAGUUGUUGCAGUUAAAAAGCUAGUAGUUGGAUUUCGGAAGGUCCUUAGCAAUCCGYCCCUUYGGGGAGCGGGUUGCUGGCCUCCUAUGUUCCUAACGGCCCUCAUCCGCGAGGGUGGGGAAUCAACCGCUAGGAUCGUUUACUUUGAGGAAAUUAGAGUGUUCAAAGCAGGCGUAACUCGCCUCCGAAUACGUUAGCAUGGGAUAAUGGAAUACGACUUCGGUCUUGUUUCGUUGGUUUCGCUUGGCYGAAGUAAUGAUUGAUAGGGACAGUUGGGGGCAUUAGUAUUUAGUUGUCAGAGGUGAAAUUCUAGGAUUUACUAAAGACUGACCAAUGCGAAAGCAUUUGCCAAGGAUGUUUUCAUUAAUCAAGAACGAAAGUAGGGGGAUYGAAGACGAUCAGAUACCGUYGUAGUYUYUACCGUAAACUAUGCCGACCAGGGAUCCGGAGAGUUUGCAUGGAUGACUCCCCGGGCACCUUGUGAGAAAUCAUAAGUGUUUGGGUUUUGGGGGGAGUAUGGUCGCAAGGCUGAAACUAAAGAAUGACGAACGAKCCCCMUGGKC
rnacentral:rRNA from 1 species